GCUGGACCUCGCCGUUUCGCAAGCAUCCGAGUUCUCCAGCCGAGGCUCGGGACUGCUGCAGGGUGGAAAAUGAAAGUUCUGAGAGCACCUUCCGCCCCUCCGCUUCUGCACAGCCGGGGCUGCGGUGCGAGGAGCUUGGCCGCGGGGCCCGAACGAGGCGAAGGGGCCGGGGCCCUUGGGGAACCCCCUUCUCUCUUCCACUCUCCCUUAGGUAAAACCCGUGUUCCUCUCACGCUCGACCCAGCGCCUUUCCAGCUGCGGUCGAUUUGCUUCUCCGCGUGUAAGUACAGCCACCCUCAAGGUCAUUGAAAAAGUUUGCUUUAAAUGAGCGUCUGCGGAACUCGUCCUGAGGCUCUCACUGUUACAGAUUAGAGAUGGGGGCGCUUUCUAGUGGAGGAUUUUGCUUUUGCUCUUCUACUUUUGCAAGAAGCUUUUUGUCCUGAAAAGUGGACAGUCAUCUCCAUUUAUAGCUUGGAAUGAAAAUUUGACUAUGGAAGUUGCAGUCGCUACUUGAGAAAUAUUUCCUCCUUCUUUUUUUUUUUUUUUUUUUAUUUUUGACACGGAGUUUUGCUGUUGUUGCCCAAGCUGGAGAGCAGUGCGCGAUCUCGGCUCACUGCAACCUCCGCCUUCCGGUUUCAAGCGAUUCUCCUGCCUCAGCCUCCCGAGUAGGCGGGAUUACAGGUAUGUGCCACCAUGCCCGGCUAAUUUUUGUAUUUUUAGUAGACACGGGGUUUCACCAUGUUGGCCAGGCUGGUCUCGAACUCCUGACCUCGUGAUCCACCCGCUUCGGCCUCCCAGGUCCUCCUUCCGUUUUAAAGGAUAAACCUUGAAAUGCUUUUAAAAUAUGCAGCGUGUAGAAUUUGGUUAGUUGGUUGGUUGGGGUUUUUUAGAGAAAAUGAGAGGUAGAAUGGACUCUAAGUUAAACCCUGGGGGACAGUGUCACUCUGGCCGCUGGCCUGGCUGGGAAAGGCGAUGAGACCCUGAGCAGGUUAAAACCCGUGUCCUGAAGGUGUCCUGUAAAGGGAAAUAGGCCCGUUGCCUCCUUCGUAGGUGCCCUGAGACUCCGACAAGGCAGGAAUGCCAAGGUAUUUCGUACCUGCUCAGCCCUGGCAUGUCAGGUUGCUGAGACCGAGCAGUGUGGGGCUGAGGUGGAAGCGGACCUUCUGGGGCGUGGAAAGCGCACCAGGAGACCCCGGCUCCUUCUCAGCCAGCACUGCCUCAUCCUCAGAACAAAUUUAAGUCAAUUCAUCAUUCAUUCUUUCACCUUCUUUAUAACCAUAUCCAAUUCAUCACCAAGCCCAAUGGAUUUUCCCUUCUAAAUAAAUCCCUCUAACAUCUUCUCUCUCUUUUCCCACAGACGCCCACUUGUCUGGAACCUUCUUACACCUAAAUAGUUAGAAUCCACUCCUAUUUGGUCUCCUUAACUCCAAGCUCCUGCCGUCCCAAUCACUGUCAGACUAACCUUUCAUAACCACUGCUUUCUCUACCCAGAGACCUGCCACGGCUCCCUACUUUCUAUCUCCACAAGUCCAAAUCCUGCCCCCCGCCACACACACACACACACACUUACCACCCUUUUUACAGUAGCUCUCCCGCCUCCUUUAGCUCCUGUUGCCCUGUGUGUGGCUUAUUUACAGGUUUGAUGGUGCAGUUUCCUUCUCUAGGGUGUUAGCUCCAUGGGGAAGCAGCUUCUUCUGUGUUGUUCACCACUGUGCCUGGUGAACACCACUGCACCUAGCACACAAUGGGCACUGAAGAAGGCACUGAGUCGCAGAAGAAUGAAUGAAUUCCCCUCCCUGGUGAGGCCAGAAGCAACAUCCUGUUUGGAAUUCUGUGCAGGACUCAGGGAUUCCAUGAGGUGCAGCCCAGGCACACCCCCUUCUAAUCCUCUCCCUCUGGGGAGACCUUUCCUGCUCCUUCAUAUGAGUUUCUACCACCCUGCUGGCCUCUUCGAUGCAGUUUAGCCCCUGACAAUGACUAACGGACUCAUUUGACUCUCAUCAUCUCUAGUAAUUUAAAAAUUCCCUAGGGUCAGGGAGCAGGUCCUAACCUCAUUCAACACCUCACCCAGUGCCUUGUCCCUUUCUCAGCACAUUCUUCUACUCAGUAAAUGUUUGAAGAAGCCUCAUGAGGGCAGGAAUCUUUGUGUUUUGUUUCUCUUAUGUCUCCCAAGUACCUGGCCCUGGAAGGCAAUUGAUGCUCAAUCAAUACACAUUUUAAUAAAUUCGCUAGUGAACUGAAACACCACCUGAAACACUGCUGCUUUUAGAGUUUGUGGAGGGAGGGACUGUUCCCUGCACCUACCCCAGUGACUGGCACCUGGAAUUCACCGAGCAAGUUGGUUGAAAAAGUUAAAGGAAUUUUCCAGCACUUUGAAAACUAAACCAAGAGAAUGUCUCCAUAUCAAAUUUCAGCCACUCCUUAUAAAAAUGUCUUAAAGGCUGUAAAUCACCGUAUUCACCUGCAGGAAGCAGUGUUGAGGAAGGAGGUAGUAUAGGGUUAAGGGUCUAUUUAAACCAGCUGCUUAGGGCCAAGUUAGAUGUUUAUUCUGUCUAGUUUAAACCACUGGCUUAACAGGGUACUUAAUUUUCCAGUUUCAUCAAAGAAAUGUGCUGUGAGGCCAAGAAAAUUAUGUAGUUCAUUUUUUUAAAAGAGAUGCAAACUGAGAAAUUCUGUGACCAUUAACAGUCUCAUUAAAGAAAUAAGAAAAUAUGAUUGUUUCUCUUAGAUUUUGCAAAAUGGCUAAGGAGCAUUUUUAGACACUUUGUUGUAGAACAACUCUCUUUUAAGCUACUUUCCUCCUUUCUUAAAAACAAAAUAUAGGCCGGGUGUGGUGGCUCACACUUGCAAUCCCAGCACUUUGGGAGGCUGAGGCAGAUGGAUCACCUGAGGUCAGGAGUUCGAGACCAGCCUGGCCAACAUGGUGAAACCCCAUCUCUACUAAAAGUACAAAAAUUAGCUGGGCGUGAUGGUAGGCACCUGUAAUCCCAGCUACUUGGGAGGCUGAGGCACGAGAAUCGCUUGAAUCCAGGAGGCAGAGGUUACAGUGAGCCGAGGUCAUGCCACUGCACUCCAGCCUGGUGGUCAGAGCGAGACUUUGGCUCAAAAAAAAAAAAAAUGUAUUAUCCAUUUAUUAUGUACUCAUUCAGCAGAUAGGAGCAAAAGCGCCCAUUCUACUCUUAAGUCCCAACCCAGAAAUAGAGCAGUGAGGGAAACUGACAGCAUCCUGGGCCUCAGCACCUGCUGGGAGAAAGAGCCAACAAAAUACACAGCAACACACAGGAUAUAGCACCCUUGGUGUUGAUUAAACGCUAGAUGAAGAAAAGGGAGGAGGAGACGGGAGGAAUGCAGGCUGAGGCGGUGGCAGGGGGCUCCAUUUUAAACAGGAUGUCGACAAAGAUAGAAUUUCAGCGAGUGCUAGAAUGAGGUAAGGACUUACAUCAACAAUCUGCCCGCACCAUUUCUUCUUAGAUUUCAGAAACUGUUUUCGUUUGAUUCAAUACUGGUGCCUUCCUUCGGUUCAUUUUCUGUUUAUCAUAAAAAUUAUCCUAGGUCUUCAAAACUAAUUUAAUGGAAUUGUAUAGAAAUGGAAAUAAAAGUGACUACAAGCUUCAAAAAGGUAGAUUUUGGGUAUAAAGACAAUCUUAUAUAUUUUUUUCUUUUUCAAGACAAAGUCUCACGUUGUCAUCCAGGUUAGAGUGUAGUGGCACGAUCUAGGCUCACUGCAACUUCUGCCUCCCCGAUUCAAGCGAUUCUUGUGUGUCAGCCUCCUGAGUAGCUGGGACCACGAGCGUGCACCACCACGCCUGGCUAAUUUUUGUAUUUUUAGUAGAGAUGGGGUUUUGCCAUGUUGGCCAAGCUGGUCUCAAACUCCUGGCCCCAAGUGAUACACCUGUCUUGGCCUCCCAAAGUGCUGGGAUUACAGGCGUGAGCCACCAUGCCUGGCCAAA
rnacentral:lncRNA from 1 species